CGCUAAUUUACUAAGAACUUGCUGAAGAUGCGACUUAAGAGUGGCAGACACGUCAUGACGAUAUUGAGGAGUCAUUGGUUCGAUUCCCGGCAACAGCUGCAAGUCAGCCAAAGAGAUGCCAUAACGGGCGAGGAGGAGGUGCAAAACACAAAUAUGGCCAUCUGCAAUGACGUCACAGAAGAAUCUGUGAUCCAUUAGGCCAGGAGCGACGAAAGAGCGAAAUCCUUUUCUGUAGGGUGAUGAAUUUAGCUCGUCUCUGCAAGCUGCCUCAUCAUUCAACCCCGGACGAAGGCAGACAGUUCCACCAAGCCGCUCCUUUACAUCCUUCCUCUUUGAAUUCAAAAGUCGGUUGGGAGCAAGGUUGGCUGUGGUUGGCAGUUGGUCGGUGCAGUUGAUUACUGGUUGGCAGCACCAGCCAAAAACAUUCAGGAGUGAACGGAAGUGCUGCCGCAAAGUUGAUAAGAGCCAUGUCUGCGCAUGCUCGCCUUUGGUUCCUGCUCGCCUGUUUGUUGUUCCUGACGUCAUCCGCGGAGGCUGCAGGAACGAUGAGCGCCUUAGCGGAGACGCUGGGGUUCUUCGGCAUGUGGUACGGAGUUAUCGGGCUCAGCAUCGUCAUCAUCUUCGUCAUCGCUUUCGCCGGCUUCAUAGAAAAGUGAUCGAGCGAGACUUCGCACGAGACUUCUUACGAUACAUAACGUAACGUUCCUUGUCUCCUCGUUUUCCGCCCCUCCCCUUCCACAGCAGUUUAGUCACCAUUAGCUACUCGCAUUGCUACACACAAAGAGUUCGUUAUGGUGAUUGUAUUCCUCAAUUUAUAUGUAUGAAACUCAGCAAUACUAGUACUGGAUUGUAAUUAGGAUGAGAGAAAAUUGUCCUAUACUUCGAGAGAAGAGAAUACAUCGAUAUCGAGUACGCUGGAACACGUGGAGCAAUAGAUAUCACAAAUCUCUUGAAAGAAAUCAGAGAAGUUAAAUAGCUAUAUUUCUAGCUUCACAUAUCAUAUGAGGUGCACUGUACGGUUUGAAAGUAAGCAUCGAACAUUUAUAAAAGAAAUGUUAUGACAUAAUUCCUUUUAUAGGUCUCAAAUGUUAUUAUGUGAUUUUAUAUAACUGUCUAUAUAGUCAUCAGGUUUAGAGAUGCAAAUAAAAAAGACACUGAAGAUCCCAGA